UUGAAUAUUGUUCCUUUAUCAUAAUUUUAUUCAUGCAGUGAAACAUAAUGGCUCAAUUGAAACUGGGAUUCUCAAUACCAUAUAUUGUAAGUCAUAGGAAUCUUUAUCUUAAAGAGGUAUAUUAGUUGUUUACUAUGUGAUGGUUUCUUUGUAAAUUUGGUAACAGCUUUACAAAAUCAUCUUACCCACCAAGUAGUAUAUUGGUUUACUCUUUUGUUUUGUGACUGGGAGAUGGUAUCCACAAAUGUACUUUUUUUUAUAUUUACAAAUACAAUGCUUGAAUGUUAAUGCCACUGAUACAAAAACAAGUAAUCUUUUUAUUGCCUUCAAUUCGGCCAUUAAUUGAUUUAGAAUUUUUAUUUUCUGUUCUAAAAUGAAAUUGCAUCUUUAGUUUUGUUUUUGUUGUGAUAAUUGUUUAUGGAUGUGAAGAGAAGACUUAUAGUUAUAACUAUGAAACUUAUUUGAUAGUUUAAAUUUGAUGUUUUUAUACUCUAAUGUAUCUCAAAACAUGGUUUGUGAGUUUUUGAAAA
rnacentral:lncRNA from 1 species